UUGGAUGUUCCUUAGUAUUAAUAUAAUUUUGUAUCGCCGCUAUAUUUUUAGUUAAAGAGUGAAUAAUUAAGUAAACAAGUUUAAAGAAAAAAAAAUUGUCCCAUAGAGCGCAUUUCUGUUUUCAAAUCUCUUUUAGCUUGACUUCAUGUUCAGUUAUUGGCUGUCUUUUGUUUAAAAUUGCCUCACUUAUUUUUGGUAAAGGUUAGGUUGUAUUGGUAAAUUGAUAUUUCAUCAUGUUGUCAG
rnacentral:misc_RNA from 1 species